GAUGAAGACGUAGCGAAAUGCGAUAAGUAAUGUGAAUUGCAGAAUUCAGUGAAUCAUCGAAUCUUUGAACGCACAUUGCGCCCCUUGGUAUUCCGAGGGGCAUGCCUGUUCGAGCGUCAUAUUAACCACUCCCGCUUGCGGGGUCUUGGGCUUCGCCUCCGGGCGGGCCUUAAAAUCAGUGGCGGUGCCGUCGGGCUCUACGCGUAGUAAAUUUUCUCGCGAUAGGGUCCCGGUGGAUGCUUGCCAACAACCCCCAACUUCUUAAGGUUGACCUCGGAUCAGGUAGGGAUACCCGCUGAACUUAAGCAUAUCAAUAAGCGGAGGA
rnacentral:misc_RNA from 1 species